rnacentral:rRNA from 1 species
AUUGAACGCUGGCGGCAGGCCUAACACAUGCACGUCGAACGAGUGGCGGACGGGUGAGUAAUGUCUGGGAAACUGCCUGAUGGAGGGGGAUAACUACUGGAAACGGUAUCUAAUACCGCAUACACUCUGAUUUGCCCCGAUGGGAUUAGCUAGUAGGUGGGGUAAAGUGUCACCUGGGCGACGAUCCCUAGCUGGUGUGAGCGGAUGACCAGCCACACUUGAACGUAGACACGGUCCCGACUCCUAAGGGAGGCAGCAGUGGGGAAUAGUGCACAAUGGGCGCAAGCCUGAUGCAGCCAUGCCGCGUGUAUGAAGAAGGCCUUCGGGUUGUAAAGUACGUUCAGCGGGGAGGCGUUACCCGCAGAAGAAGCACCGGCUAACUCCGUGCCAGCAGCCGCGGUAAUUC